rnacentral:rRNA from 1 species
ACGGGGGAACGGGCUAUACAUGCAGUCGAGCGCAGGAAUAAACAGGAACCCUUCGGGGUGAUGUUUAUGGAAUGAGCGGCGGACGGGUGAGUAACACGUGGGCAACCUGCCUGUAAGAUCGGGAUAACUCGCGGAAACGUGAGCUAAUACCGGAUAACACUUUUCAUCUCAUGGUGAGAAGAUAAAAGACGGUUUCGGCUGUCACUUACAGAUGGGCCCGCGGCGCAUUAGCUAGUUGGUGAGGUAACGGCUCACCAAGGCGACGAUGCGUAGCCGACCUGAGAGGGUGAUCGGCCACACUGGGACUGAGACACGGCCCAGACUCCUACGGGAGGCAGCAGUAGGGAAUCUUCCGCAAUGGACGAAAGUCUGACGGAGCAACGCCGCGUGAGUGAUGAAGGUUUUCGGAUCGUAAAACUCUGUUGUUAGGGAAGAACAAGUUGGGUAGUAACUGACCCAACCUUGACGGUACCUAACCAGAAAGCCACGGCUAACUACGUGCCAGCAGCCGCGGUAAUACGUAGGUGGCAAGCGUUGUCCGGAAUUAUUGGGCGUAAAGCGCUCGCAGGCGGUCUUUUAAGUCUGAUGUGAAAGCCCACGGCUUAACCGUGGAGGGUCAUUGGAAACUGGAGGACUUGAGUACAGAAGAGGAGAGUGGAAUUCCACGUGUAGCGGUGAAAUGCGUAGAGAUGUGGAGGAACACCAGUGGCGAAGGCGACUCUCUGGUCUGUAACUGACGCUGAGGAGCGAAAGCGUGGGUAGCGAACAGGAUUAGAUACCCUGGUAGUCCACGCCGUAAA